UACGGAGGAUGCGAGCGUUAUCCGGAUUUAUUGGGUUUAAAGGGUGCGUAGGCGGAGUGUCAAGUCAGCGGUAAAAUUUCGGGGCUCAACCCCGUCGUGCCGUUGAAACUGACGCCCUUGAGUGAGUGAGAAGUAAGCGGAAUGCGUGGUGUAGCGGUGAAAUGCAUAGAUAUCACGCAGAACCCCGAUUGCGAAGGCAGCGUGCCGUGCCGCCACUGACGCUGAGGCACGAAAGCGCGGGGAUCGAACAGG
rnacentral:rRNA from 1 species